CCUACGGGUGGCAGCAGUGAGGAAUAUUCGUCAAUGGACGAGAGUCUGAACGAGCCACGUAGCGUGAAGGAUGACUGCCCUAUGGGUUGUAAACUUCGUUUAUAUGGGAAUAAAAUGUUCCACGUGUGGGAUUUUGUACGUACCAUAUGAAAACGGAUCGGCUAACUCCGUGCCAGCAGCCGCGGUACUACGGAGGAUCCGAGCGUUAUCCGGAUUUAUUGGGUUUAAAGGGAGCGUAGGUGGAUUGUUAAGUCAGUUGUGAAAGUGUGCGGCUCAACCGGAAAAGUGCAGUUGAAACUGGCAGUCUUGAGUACAGUAGAGGUGGGCGGAAUUCGUGGUGUAGCGGUGAAAUGCUUAGAUAUCACGAAGAACUCCGAUUGCGAAGGCAGCUCACUGGACUGCAACUGACACUGAGGCUCGAAAGUGUGGGUAUCAAACAGAAUUAGAUACCCGUGUAGUC
rnacentral:rRNA from 1 species